CAGAGAUUCACUUGCCCAAGUGUUCUGUCCUGUCCUCUGAAUCCGCUUUCAAGUCGCAAGACGCUGUGAGCUCCAAGUCCACGCAGAGUCCGCCAAACGCUCCGGCCGCUGAUCCGCUCCGCGAAGAUCUGAGUACAGGCCAGCCAGGGUGGGUUUAAAUAGCCUCGGGCGCAGCCUAGCAGCGGAAAGGGCGGAGCUUCACUCCUCCUUUCCAUCAGUCACCCCCAACUUUCCCAGGCUACACCUCGUAGGAAACUGUUCUCCUGCUUUGAUUUCAUGCGCCACCUUUGGGACAAUCUAAGAACUUACAGGUUUUCUUGGCCAGAUUUAUUAGGAAUUGUAUGCACUGAAACACUGAAAACCAACUAGUGGUUCUGUGCUUCCCACGUUGUGGUUUUGACACCAGCAGCAUCCUUGCCACAAUCAAACCCCGGAGAUCCGCAGAUCUGUGUUGUAACAAGACCUCCCCCUGACCCUGAAGCAUGGCAGUUGAAGAAGUCUUUCCGUGUAAGCGAAAAGACUUUGAAGAAAAGGUGGAGAUAUGCGUUGUAUAAACAUUCUUUUGCUCUGGAACCACGUAGAGACUUGGGAGCCAGUUGGGUGGAGCAUUCGUUGGAUGAGGGUGCUCGGGUUAGGAAUAUCAAGGUGUUUCUCCAGAUAAUCCAAUCAUCUAAUUAAGAUUCCAGUUAUGCUCAUCUGUUUUAAAAUUCCGUUUGGGUAAAUUCUUUUAGUCAGACUGAGAAUGGCAAAGCCUCAGCCCCAAUUUCCAGGGAGGGUGGAGAGCCUCAGGUGGAGUUGAUCACCAAUAGCCUAUGGUUUAACCCAUCAUGCCUAUAGAAUGAGGUCUCCAUCAAAACCCAAAAGGACUGGGUUCAGAGAGCUUCUGGAUAACACUUCCUGGAAGGUAGUGCACCCCUCCCCGCAUGCCGGGCCCCACAUUUAUUUCUGAACUUUGUG
rnacentral:lncRNA from 1 species